rnacentral:rRNA from 1 species
GAUAGAAAGUUACUUCGGUUACAUCGGUGACAGGUGGUGCAUGGUUGUCGUCAGCUCGUGUCGUGAGAUGUUGGGUUAAGUCCCGCAACGAGCGCAACCCCUAUUGUUAGUUGCCAUCAUUCAGUUUGGGCACUCUAGCGAGACUGCCGGUAAUAAACCGGAGGAAGGUGGGGAUGACGUCAAAUCAUCAUGCCCCUUAUGACCUGGGCUACACACGUGCUACAAUGGUUGGUACAACGAGUUGCGAGUCGGUGACGGCGAGCUAAUCUCUUAAAGCCAAUCUCAGUUCGGAUUGUAGGCUGCAACUCGCCUACAUGAAGUCGGAAUCGCUAGUAAUCGCGGAUCAGCACGCCGCGGUGAAUACGUUCCCGGGCCUU